rnacentral:rRNA from 1 species
CUCGUAGGCGGCCAACUAAGUCAGACGUGAAAUCCCUCGGCUCAACCGGGGAACUGCGUCUGAUACUGGAUGGCUUGAGUUUGGGAGAGGGAUGCGGAAUUCCAGGUGUAGCGGUGAAAUGCGUAGAUAUCUGGAGGAACACCGGUGGCGAAGGCGGCAUCCUGGACCAACACUGACGCUGAGUGAGCGAAAGCCAGGGGGGCAAACG